rnacentral:rRNA from 1 species
GACGAACGCUGGCGGCGUGCUUAAUACAUGCAAGUCGAACGAGUGGCGAACGGGUGAGUAACACGUGGGUGAUCUGCCUUGCACUCUGGGAUAAGCUUGGGAAACUGGGUCUAAUACCGGAUAGUGCAAGAUGAGCUCGCGGCCUAUCAGCUUGUUGGUGGGGUAAUGGCUACCAAGGCGCGACGGGUCGCCGGCCUGAGAGGGUGUACGGCCAAAUUGGGUCGGGGAUCCGGCCCAGACUCCUACGGGAGGCAGCAGUGGGGAAUAUUGCACAAUGGGCGGAAGUCUGACCGAGCAACGCCGCGUGAGUGAAGAAGGUUUUCGGAACGUAAAGCUUUGUUGUUUGAAAAGCGGUAACUAACCAGAAAGGGACGGCUAACUACGUGCCAGCAGCCGCGGUAAUAC